GGCAGAUUCUCAACGACGAUUCAGGUAGGUUUUGCAACAUACCUACAUAGAGUCAUAGAGCACAGAGACAGGCUAUUUGGUCCAACUUGCUCAAGCCAACCAAAAUGCCCAUCCACACUAGUCCCAAUCUCCUGCAUUUGGCCCAUAUUCCUAUACACCUUUCCAAACCAAGUACCUGUCCCAAUGUCGUUUAAAUGGGAGUGGGUGGUUUGAGUGAUAGAAUACAGUGGGGGAGCGAUGCUGGAAUGCAAUAACAAUCUGUGUUCUUUUCAGAUCCCCAGGAGUAUCAGAAUAACACUCUGUACAGCAAUUUGCACAUUCAAAGACCUCCCUGCAAAGAGGAGGAGACUGGUAAGGACCACCAAACACACCGUGAGCGGCAAAAUACACACAUCUGUGAGGACACCCCUUGGGAACACAUCAAACCCAUUUCAUACUGAGUGAGCCCAGCACCGAUCCCUGUGAUACACCACUAGUCACAGGCCUCCAGUCUGAAAAGCAACCCAUCACCACCACCUUCCACCAAGCCAAAUUCAUAUCCAAUUGGCUCAUUCACCCUAGACCUCAUGUGAUUUAAUCUUCCAGAAUGGUAAGACAUGUGAGAACUUGGCAAAGGCCAUGUUAACGUCCAUGCAGGCAAUGUGUACCAGCUCUGCCCUCAUCAAUAGACUCAUCGCCUCAUCAAAAGCUCAGUCAAAUUCACACACAAAUUCCACACACAAAGCCAUGCCCUCAUUUACAGCAUUGUUCACGUUCAAAGCCGUUCUCGAGUAGGAGUGGAGAUAGGUAAGGAACAGUAAGCACACGGUGAGCUGUGAAACAACGUGGUGGUGUGGACGCCCCAUGUAAAAUAGUGUCCCCAACGGGCUGGGAGGCAAACCCUUGAUGUACUGACUAGAACCAUCCACUGGCACUGACAAUAUACACUGGGCUUCCCAGCGAGCCUGUGAUCCAGAGCUCUCCAUAUCCAACAUUCAGGGCAGGUGCAGCAAAGGCCAGACAUGGUGGAAGUAGUAACAAAGACCCAGGACAUAGAGUUACUAGAGAUCCUGGUGUUGUUUAUUUUCCGUUUCCCACCAACGGGCAGCCAAGCGUUAGACCUGGAAGUACAAUGCUGUCUAUUCUGCAGUACGGUUCUGUACAGAAGCAGCGAGGGUUCUCUUGGGGCAUGCCACUUAUCAUAAUGAGGGGUGAAGAACAGUCUUGGCAAAAGAUGGACCACUAUAGGAGGGGCAAUCGGAACAGGCAAGAGACAGUGAUUAUCAAAGGUGGGGACUCAUAGAGUCAUAGAGCACAGAGACAGGCUCUUUGGUCCAACUUGCUCAAGCCAACCAAAAUGCCCAUCCACACUAGUCCCAAUUGCCUGCAUUUGGCCCAUAUCCCUAUACACCUUUCCAAACCAAGUACCUGUCCCAAUGUCGUUUAAAUGGGAGUGGGUGGUUUGAGUGGUAGAAUACAGUGGGGGAGCGAUGCUGGAAUGCAAUAACAAUCUGUGUUCUUUUCAGAUCCCCAGGAGUAUCAGAAUAACACUCUGUACAGUACUGUGCACAUUCAAAGACCUCCCUGCAAAGAGGAGGAGACUGGCUGCAUUUAUGCAACGGUUGUAUAUACAAAAGAACAGGCCAAGGAUGCAAGUGGAGAAUAAAACCUCCUGCUCAUGACAAACCUCCCUGAUAUUUUCGGAUAACGUUGAAGUACAGAUCAUGAGUUAAAUUGGAACGCUUGAGACCCGGGACUGGGGGUGCCCCACUGUAGGACGUCUGUGACACUUCGGAGGCUUCUGUGCAUUUGAGUUCAUCGGCAAAAAAUCAUCUGUUACAGUGCCAGGACGAACCAGAUCAAUUAAUUGCCAGCGAACUGCUUCUGAAGUGCAGUCACUAUCAUAAGACAGGGAGUCAAAGCUCAGCAAAAGUCUUCUGAAACAUAGUAAUGAAUGGAUAAUUGAAAAGUGAAUGUUGGAGCGCGGGUAUUUGGGGAAACCUUUCCCCUGCUCAUCUUCAGAACAUGAAACUAUCAUAUUGUCGUGAGAUUACACAUGUUUGCGUUUUGGGGAAGGAAAUCAGCUGUUCUUCCGUCUGUUGAGGCCCACUGCAAGGGUGGAUCGCAGAACACCAAACAAUCUGUUGCAGGAACUCAGCAGGUCUGGGUGGGGUGUAGUUUGGAGGAAUUGUGAAAGGAAGUGUGACUCCUAUCUGUACUUGGGAAAAUACUUCAGCAAGCCACUCAAUUCAAGGGAAAAUAGGGAUGUGAAAUAACUGCUGGCUCACAGAGUGACAGUACUUCAAUUAGUCGUUCUUUUUACAGGCUUUUUACCUCUAUUCAGUCUUUCUACUGAUCCUGGCAACAACAUUGGUUCAUACAGCACGGAAACAGGCUCUUGAGUCCAACUACAUGCCCCAUUGAUGCUAGUCCCAUCUGCCUGCAUUUAGCCCAUGUCACUCUCAACUUUCCCCAUCCAUGUACCUGUCAAAUGCCCUUUAAAGGUUGUGAUCGUUCCUGUAUCAAUCACUACCCCAGGCAGCUUGGUCCAUAUACCUACCACCCUCUGUGUGAAAUGUUGUCCCUCAGAUUCCCAUUAAAUCUUUCUC